AUUCUAGCAAGGGGGAGAUAUCAUGAUGAAGGUGGUGGUUCUCCCAGGACAAGGCUGCUCAUUGCCGCACAUGCAGAAUCUGUGCUAGCAGGGGUCUGUAUUCACGUUCUCCCCUG
rnacentral:snRNA from 1 species